GCAAGUCGAGCGAAGAAAUUUCCUUCGGGAAAGAGUAAGAGCGGAGGACGGGGGAGUAAUAUGUGGGUAAACUGACUAUUCAAAGGGAUAGCCACAGGAAACGGUGAUUAAUACCAUAUAAAACAGCAGCAUCGCAUGAUGUAACUGUCAAAGAUUUAUCGGAAUAAGAUGGACCCGCACCUGAUUAGCUAGUUGGUAGUGUAAUGGACUACCAAGGCGACGAUCAGUAGCCGGCCUGAGAGGGUGAAC
rnacentral:rRNA from 1 species